rnacentral:lncRNA from 1 species
CCACACCCAAUAAACCCCAAACCCACCCAUGACACGACCCAUUCGCACAAAACACAUGAUACAUACAGAUGCUAAGACCUAAUCCCAAAACGACUAUUCACUCUCUUCUUCACUGCAAAGCUGCGUCCAAACUCGUGAAAUUUUGAGCGAGUGAGUGCCAAAUCCCUCCUCACGCAUUCCUCCUUCUCUUCUCAUCACCAUAUCUCACCGUUUCUGACGCGGAUUUUCUCAUUACCUUCACUCGCUCGAUUUGGAGAUAAGGCACUCAAUUGGAAGCUUCUAAGAAGGAUUUGCUGGAUGAAUGUGAGGCGUUGGAUUGAUUUCAUUCAAUCCAAGCCCCACAUUCAUCAGGAAUUCGUUCUCAAAAGGGAUUUUGGAUGGAUUUGGGAGGGGUCAGUUUUUUUGGAGAGGGAUUUUUGGAGAGAGGAUUUUGGGAGAGAUAGUCUUCUUCUUUUCGUUUUGCAUUCAUUCUUAGUGGAAAGGGAAGAAAAGAACACACAAAAAACGUUCAAUAUUCAGUGAUUUUAGGGUAGUUUGGUUUAUUGUUUACAAACUUCAAACAUAUAGAUUCUGUCUUUUCUUUCAGUCUGGAUUUUGUAAAAAAUGGAGUUCGAUUGAGAGAUAGUUGAACUCGUUAUUGCUCGAGGCGUCGAUUCGUAGCUGUUGCUGCUCUGCGUUGAUUUCAGUAUUGAGACUAGUUGGAUUUUCGUCCCAGGUUCAAUUCUGCUUUUCCUCUUAUUUUUUUGUGCAGGGAGCCAUGGAUGGACUGUAAAACAAUUUCAGUUAAAAUAAUAGAUGAGGCUUGUGUGGUUAUCUACGAUUUCAUUUACUGUUCUGCUCUACUUUAUGAUUGUCAAAUGAAUCUGAAUAAGUAGUGUAUAUCCUCAUGGUUUUCCACUUGGUUAUCUGAUUCUAUAGUACGAAUGAUUUCUGGUAAUCGUUCUGUUCUCUUCUCUUGAACAAGCAUAACAGCUUGUGCUUGGAUUUUGCCGUUACUAAGGCAUGAACAAAUGACCCCUAGAAGGUUGGAAUGGCUGCUAUAUUGACAUCACGCUUAGUGUUUCACCUUUGUUCUAUGUUUUUUGGGGAUUGAACUAGUGUCUUUUUUUAGGGGAUUUGAGACCAUUUGUUUGUCUCUCAAUUUGGUAACCAAUCUGUGUUGACAGUGAGACAUGUAGUUUUUUUUGAUAUCGCAUGGCUGGAGUUAUACUGUCGUAUGGUUGCUAAAUGAACGGUGAGUCGAUAAUCUGCAUUUAUGCUUUCCCUGACUAUGCUCAUUUGUGCUUCUCAUGACUAUGCUACUUUAGUUCCAUCAAGCCCGAGUUUGUCAUUGUUUUGUUGUUGUUCUUCCCCUGCUCGAUGAGCCUGUUUUCUGGGCAGAAUUGACAUUUUUUAGCUCAUUGUAAGAUCUUAACGAACAACCUGUGAUUCGUUUUCUUGCCAGCAUGUGUAUCAGUUAACGGGGAGCAAAGAAUUUGUUUGGGAAAUACUAGAGCUAGCAAAUGAGAGCCUCCUGUGUAGUCCAGUCCAAAGAAGAAAAUUGUCUCGAUGACAUUUCUAAAUUCUAAGUUUCUGCUCUUUCUUUCUUUAAAUGCAAAAGGUUUUCCAUAAGUUGAUCAAGCUAAGUGUAUAAAGGUUGUAUGAAUGGUAUUUUGCUCCUAACACUAGGUUUUGGAGCUUCUUGUUCUAGUUACUCUUUGAUUGUUAUGAGCGGAAUUGUCAAAACCUCUUGCAGAGAGCUAAUUUUCUCAUAGAGUAUCUUCAAGUGUUCUUUGUGUC